rnacentral:rRNA from 1 species
CCUACGGGAGGCAGCAGUGGGGAAUCUUGCGCAAUGGGCGAAAGCCUGACGCAGCCAUGCCGCGUGGAUGAUGAAGGUCUUAGGAUUGUAAAAUCCUUUCACCGGUGAAGAUAAUGACUGUAGCCGGAGAAGAAGCCCCGGCUAACUUCGUGCCAGCAGCCGCGGUAAUACGAAGGGGGCUAGCGUUGCUCGGAAUUACUGGGCGUAAAGGGAGCGUAGGCGGACAUUUAAGUCAGAGGUGAAAUCCCGGAGCUUAACUUCGGAACUGCCUUUGAUACUGGGUGUCUUGAGUGUGAGAGAGGUAUGUGGAACUCCGAGUGUAGAGGUGAAAUUCGUAGAUAUUCGGAAGAACACCAGUGGCGAAGGCGACAUACUGGCUCAUUACUGACGCUGAGGCUCGAAAGCGUGGGGAGCAAACAGGAUUAGAUACCCUGGUAGUCCACGCCGUAAACGAUGAUUGCUAGUUGUCGGGAAGCUUGCUUCUCGGUGACGCAGCUAACGCAUUAAGCAAUCCGCCUGGGGAGUACGGUCGCAAGAUUAAAACCUCAAAGGAAUUGACGG